rnacentral:lncRNA from 1 species
GGACGUUCCUUUUUUGGGUGGGGUUUUGAGUGUUGAUUAAAGUAAAAGACUGAAACUUGAACAAGAAUAGUCUCUGUGUGUGAGAGACAGAGAGAGAGAGAGAGAGAGAGUACCUCAGAAAUGAAGCUCAAAGUAUACCAACUUUUUUGGUAUGUUGAGUACCCAAUGAGACGAAAUGCAUAAAAGUUAAAGAGAUUGAAGCAAAGUAAAGAGGCAUAAUACGUACAAAGAGAAUUAAAUUGAUGUUAAGAGAGAGAAGAGUUUCAGACACGUGGAAAAGAAGAUAACUGACUUAGUCUUCUCAGCCAUUGAUUCUCUGACAGCGACUCCAUUAUAUCCCAGUAAAGUGGCAACUGGUAAAAAGAUAAUAAUGGUGUGUGUGAAAGAGAGAGAUGAACAUAGGGGACAGUAGGGAAUGAAGAAAGGCUACAGAUUAUAUAGGUGAA